GACGAACGCUGGCGGCGUGCUUAACACAUGCAAGUCGAACGGAAAGGCCCUGCUUUUGUUGGGUGCUCGAGUGGCGCGCGGGGGAGAAACACGUGUGUAACCUGCCCUUGACUUUCGGAUAUCUUCAGGAAACUGGGGAUAAUACCGGAUAUGAGCUCUUGCUCCGCGGGGGGGGUUGGGAAGUUUCGGCGGUUGGGGAAGUAGUCGCGGCUUAUGAGCUUGUUGGUCGGGUAGUGGCUUACGAAGGGUUUGACGGGUAGGCGGCCUGGGAGGGUGGACGGCCACAUGGCGCCUACGAUACGGCCCAGUAUGCUAGGGGAGGCAGCAGUGGGGAGCCUGACACAAUGGGCGGAAGCCAGAUGCGGCGAUGCCGGGUGCGGGAUGAUGGCCUUCGGGUUGUAAACAGCUUUCGACUUUGACGAAGCGUUAGUGACGGUAAUGGGUAAAGAAGCACCGGCUAACUACGUG
rnacentral:rRNA from 1 species